UAUAAAUAUUAAAAGCACACGCGCUACGAACAGAUGUACUUGUACUAGCACUUAUUAAUGUUGGGGUUGUGGUAUGAAUAGGAAACAACGGCAUUUGGGUUGGCGUAGUUAAAUAUGGUGCUAAGUACAUGACAUUUUGAUAUACUAUGGGUAGUGCAGAUAGAUGUCUGCAAUUUUCUCGAUGUUUUCUUGGAACUGUUUUUAAGGAUGUACAACCCUCUUUUGUACCAUCCAUUAAUUUUCGGCAUCUAACCACUACAGAAACAAGACAAAACACGAAUGCAGUCACUGGUGGUUUUCCAUCUAAAUAUAAUCCCAAGGAUGUGGAAACUGGUCGAUAUGAUUGGUGGAUGAAACAUAACUGUUUCUCGUUAGUGGAAACUCCUCGUGUGCCAUUCAGUAUUCUUUUACCACCUCCAAAUGUAACUGGAACUCUACAUCUUGGUCAUGUUCUAACAACAACUGUACAAGAUGUUUUUGCCAGGUGGCACAGAAUGAGUGGGAGACCUGUUGUAUGGAUUCCAGGAAUGGAUCAUGCAGGAAUUGCUACUCAAGUCGUGGUAGAGAAAAUACUUUGGCAAAAUCUAAAGAAAUCAAGACAUGAUAUUGGUAGACAAAGAUUUUGUGAAGAAGUUGCACUCUGGAAAGAUGAGAAGAAACUGAAAAUUAAACAUCAGCUUAAAAAAAUUGGUGCUUCGUUAGACUGGUCGCGUGAAUUUUUUACACUGGAUGCUAAACAGUCAUCUGCAGUUGUGGAAGCUUUCAUACAGCUGUACAAUAAUGGACUAAUAUAUAGGAAUGAAGCCUUAGUAAACUGGUCUUGCAGUUUACAGACAGCAAUAUCUGAUAUCGAAGUGGAUCAUCAGUUGAUAGAAGGGCGAACUAAGGUCAUUGUUCCCAACUGUGAGGAACCUGUGGAAUUUGGUGUGCUUCAUAACUUUGCAUAUCAGAUUUGUGGGACAGAUGAAGAGAUAGUUGUAUCAACAACAAGAAUUGAAACCAUGCUUGGUGAUGUAGCUGUUGCUGUACACCCUGAAGAUCCCAGAUACCAUCAUGUAAUUGGUAAAGAAGUUUGGCACCCUUUUAGGGAAGAGAAAAUUCCAGUCAUAAGUGAUGAUUUUGUAGAUCCUGAAUUCGGAACAGGUGCUGUCAAAAUCACUCCAGCACAUGACCGUACUGACUAUGAAGUAAGCAGGCGACAUGAUUUGCCAGUGUUGAAAAUAAUAUCAGAAGAUGGAAAGCUAAAUAAAAAUUGUGGCAAGUUUGCUGGGAUUGGAAGAUUUAAUGUUAGAAGAAUGCUAGUUACUGAACUAGAAAAAAGGAAUUUGCUGCGCUGUAGCAGUGAUCACAAAAUGCAAGUUCCAUUUUGUAGUCGGUCAGGUGAUGUUGUAGAGUUCAUACUGAAACCACAGUGGUAUAUUAAUUGUCAGGAAAUGGCGGAGAGAGCUGUUCUUGCUGUACGUGAAGGAAGACUGAAAAUAGAACCUCAAAGCUUUGAAAGAGUCUGGUUCACUUAUUUGGAGAAUAUUCGAGAUUGGUGUAUAUCACGACAAUUGUGGUGGGGACACCAGAUCCCCCUUUACAAGUGCCAAACAAUGGAUAACAAUUCUACAUGGAUUGCAGCAAGAAAUAUUGAAGAGGCAUGGAAAGAAGCAGCAGUAAUUUUGAGAUGUGGUUUGAAAGAUGUGUCUGUAAUUCAAGAAGAGGAUGUGUUAGAUACAUGGUUCUCAUCAGCACUAUUACCAUUUUCUGCUCUUGGUUGGCCACACCAGAAUGAAGAUAUGAAAACUUGUUAUCCUUUAAGCAUGAUGGUGACAGGAAAUGACAUUUUGUUCUUCUGGGUCGCCCGCAUGGUUAUGCUCGGAGAGAGGCUGACGGGGCAACUACCAUUUAAAAAAAUUUUCUUGCAUGGAGUCAUUUGUGAUGCUCAUGGAAGAAAAAUGUCAAAGAGUCUGGGAAAUGUAAUCAACCCUGAACAUGUUUCGGAUGGAAUUUCGUUAAAGGACUUACAGGAAGAAGCACAUGAAAACUUCAGGGCAGGACUUUUAUCUGAAAAUGAACUUCAGAAAACACUUGAAGGACACAAGAAACUUUUUCCCGCAGGAAUUCCUGAGUGUGGAACAGAUGCACUUAGAUUUAGCCUUUUAUCACAAAAUAUUCAGAACAUGUCACUUAACUUCGAUAUUGCAACUUGUCACACUAAUCGCCUGUUAUGUAACAAGAUAUGGCAAGCUUGUAGAUAUGUCCGUACGUUCCAUGAAAGUGUGUGGGAUAGUGCAAAGGAUGACACACUUUCAUCACUGUCCAUUUGUGAUAAGUGGAUACUAAGUCGCCUUUCAGUUAUGAUAAAGGCAGUGAAUGAUGCUUUCAAGAAUCAACAGCUACACCUUGCCACAUCCUCCUUGAGAUCAUUCAUAUACACAGAUUUUUGUGACACCUACCUGGAAACAACCAAACCUCUCUUGAAGUCACCAAAUAGCACUUCUGCUCAGGCUGCGUGUUGGACUCUUAUGCACUGCAUUGAAACUUUUUUACAGACACUCUGUCCAUUUAUGCCUUUUCUCACUGAAGCUCUUCACUGUCACAUGCAAACUGGAACACAGGGUCAGCCACUUAUGCUAGCUCCAUACCCACAGGUAGACCAAUGGAUGCAGUGGUACAAUGAGAAUAUAGAAAGAGAAUUCAACAAGGCCAUUUCUUGUGUUUCUGCUGUUCGUCGAAUAGUGUCGCUUUGUGAUAUCAGAGGUCAAAGACCAAAAUUAUACAUUGAGACUUCGUCCAAUAAGGAGCAAGUAACUUAUGAAAAGUUAAAGGAUGUUGUGGCUACACUGGGAGACUGUGCAAGUGUCACAGUAGGGAUUGCUGUCCCAUUAAAACUUCAUGAGACCUAUCUCAAGGAAAGUCUGAGUCCAGAGUCCUCCAUUUUUGUAAUUUUAGAGGUACAAAUCAGUGUGAGUGGGCUUACAAUAUACUGAAUGCCCUAGGGAACCAUCAUUCUUCCUUCGAACCAGGACAUCCAAGAAAGGCAAACAACCAUCUUUCUCUAUUUCCAUGGUGAACCAGAUGUUGCUAUGAAUGGAGAUGAGGUGAUGUAGAAACUCCAUUAAUUUGCCUUCUCCAUGAGGCCACACAAUGAAGGUAUCAUCCACAUACCUCCAAAAAACUGUUGGUUUCAGGGCAGCUGAUUCAAGCGCUCUCUCCUCAAAAUCCUCCAUAAAAAGGUUGGCGACCAAGGGAGACAGUCUGUUCAAAAUCUUCUUGAUUAAACAUAAAAUAAGUUGAGGAAAGAGCGUGCUUAAACAAAGCAGUGAUAUCAACAGGAAACAUGUUACCAAUCAGUGUCAAGGAACCUGCAAGAGGAACUUUUGUAAAAAGUGAGACCACAUCAAAACUUACUAGAAGGUCUACACUGCUAAGACGAAGAGCCCCCAGUCUGUUGAUAAAAUCAGCUGAGUGCUCACAUCAACAAGUGCUCACAUCACAUACAAAACUCAGCUGAAAAACCCAAAUAACUGAAAAAAUGUGGCUUCAUAUAAACAAAAAGCAAAAGAAACUUGCAUCAGAAUUACAGAAAAUGCAGGCAGUUGUUUCAGCAGAUGGUUAUAAAAGCAAAGCAGCACUUGUAGUGCAGGAAC